AUGGCUCAUUAAAUCAGUUAUCGUUUAUUUGAUAGUACCUUACUACUUGGAUAACCGUGGUAAUUCUAGAGCUAAUACAUGCUAAAAAUCCCGACUUCGGAAGGGAUGUAUUUAUUAGAUUAAAAACCAAUGCCCUUCGGGGCUCUCUGGUGAUUCAUAAUAACUUCUCGAAUCGCACGGCCUUGCGCCGGCGAUGGUUCAUUCAAAUUUCUGCCCUAUCAACUUUCGACGGCUGGGUCUUGGCCAGCCAUGGUGACAACGGGUAACGGAGGGUUAGGGCUCGACCCCGGAGAAGGAGCCUGAGAAACGGCUACUACAUCCAAGGAAGGCAGCAGGCGCGCAAAUUACCCAAUCCCGACUCGGGGAGGUAGUGACAAUAAAUACUGAUACAGGGCUCUUUUGGGUCUUGUAAUUGGAAUGAGUACAAUUUAAAUCCCUUAACGAGGAACAAUUGGAGGGCAAGUCUGGUGCCAGCAGCCGCGGUAAUUCCAGCUCCAAUAGCGUAUAUUAAAGUUGUUGCAGUUAAAAAGCUCGUAGUUGAACCUUGGGCCUGGCUGGCCGGUCCGCCUCACCGCGUGCACUGGUCCGGCCGGGCCUUUCCCUCUGGGGAACCGCAUGCCCUUCACUGGGUGUGUCGGGGAACCAGGACUUUUACUUUGAACAAAUUAGAUCGCUUAAAGAAGGCCUAUGCUCGAAUACAUUAGCAUGGAAUAAUAGAAUAGGACGUGUGGUUCUAUUUUGUUGGUUUCUAGGACCGCCGUAAUGAUUAAUAGGGACAGUCGGGGGCAUCAGUAUUCAAUUGUCAGAGGUGAAAUUCUUGGAUUUAUUGAAGACUAACUACUGCGAAAGCAUUUGCCAAGGAUGUUUUCAUUAA
rnacentral:rRNA from 1 species